UCGAGUCUCCAGCUCCGGGCCGCAGCCAGAGCCGAGAGCAGGGGCAGCCCCGGCCUGCCUGCGUGGUUAGCACCACAGUCACUCAGCGGAGGAGACCAGCGCCAGCAGGAAAGGAGCUGCCUAUGUAUUUAAGGCAUCACCUCCCUGAAUGCAUCCGAUGAAGUGAGCUGUAGCUCACGAAAGCUUAUGCUCUAAUAAAUUUGUUAGUCUCUAAGGUGCCACAAGUACUCCUUUUCUUUUUGCGAAUACAGACUAACACGGCUGCUACUCUGAAACCUCCCUGAGUAAAACCUCUCCCUCCCAGCUCCUCUUCACUGCUGGGGAAGGCGAGGAAAAAGCUUCCUUCUUGGGCUGUGGAGGGAAGUUUCCAUCCUACUUCAUCCCUGAAAUAUGUUCCUGCCCUGGGUGUCUAUUCUUACACUACUUCCGAUUCUGGGAGCUAAGGGAGAGUCAGUGACACAACCUGAUGACAGAGUGACAGUAUCCCAAGGGGAACCAGUGCUGCUGAAAUGCAUCUAUAAUACCACCUUGAUUCCGACGCUCUGGUGGUACGAGCAGUACCCAAAUGAAGCCCCUCGCCUCUUGCUGACACAAUAUGAAGCAUUGGAUGAGGAGGACAGAAGGAGCCGGCGAGGGUUCUCCGCCACACCCGACAAACAGGGGAAGACUUUCCACCUAAAGAAAAGCGCCAGUGAACUUCGCGACUCAGCCGUCUACUACUGCGCGAUGAGAGACACAGUGACCGCACCCAGCAGGGCCGCUGCGCAAAAACCUGCUGGGGCAAAAGGAAGCGGCACUGAAGAUCUGUGGGUUCGAGCCCCAGAAGAACAGACUUUUCACAGCGCCAUUGGAGUCAGUGAAUCCCAUCCCCAUGGUGUAAAUGUGCGUAGCUUCACGGGAGUCAACGGGCCAGAUCCCAAACAGUUGGGAGUGGUUGGAGCUCAAUGGAAGCAAAUGAUCCAGUUCCUCAAAAUGUUUUAAAAUCAAUGAGGAAUUGCAUAGGAGUCAGCUGAGCUGCACUGGUUCCUAUCUGCUGUGGAUCCGAGCCAUUAAAAUAGGACAUUGGGGUCUCUAAAAAAUUGAAAAGUUCCACAUUCCUAGAGGAAACAGUAUAUACAUCUCAUUUAAUUUUUCCAACAAUUUCUGCCUCCCAUAACUGCCCUUGUGUCUAUUGUGUGAAGGUUUUGCUGGUUUCAGAAAUGCAGUGAUCCAGAAAUUGAAGUGAAGUCAGGAAAGAUAGAAAUACUGGAAUUACAGGUGUGGAGUAGACCAGACAGCCGUCUAGCACAGUAUUUCUCUCCGACUGUAGUUACCACCCACACCUUCAGAAGAAGGUGAAAGGAACUCUGGAGGGGGUAGUUAUGAGGUAACUUCCCUUGUAGGAGGUUUUCCCCUAGCCUUGUGCAAUUGUAUAUAGAUUUAUGUCUUGAAGAAAGAUUUCCUUCACCUUCCAAUUUUUAGAGUCCUUUUAAAAUAAAUUCUGAAAGUUUAUGUUUAAAAACUCUAAUAACAUCCCAAGGUUUAUUUAUCCUGGCAUGCUUACUUAUAUCUACACUACAUGUCUACACCAUGAAAUUAGGUCAAUUUUAUAGAAGUCCAUCUUUAGCAACUGAUAUUAUACAGUUGAUCAUGCAUGUCCCCACUAAGUGCAUUAGGUCCACAGAGUGUGUCCUUAAUACCAUGGGAAGCAUCGACUCACGGAGUGGUGCACUAUGGGUAGCUAUCCCACAGUCCCUGCUGCCCAUUGGAAUUCUGGAUUAAGCUCCCAAUGCCUGAUAGUGCAAAAACCUUGUUGCAGGUGGUUUUGGGCAUAUGUGUCAGU